rnacentral:rRNA from 1 species
AGAGUUUGAUCAUGGCUCAGGAUGAACGCUGGCGGCGUGCCUAACACAUGCAAGUCGAGCGAUCUUCUUCGGAAGAGAGCGGCGGACGGGUGAGUAACGCGUGGGUAACCUGCCUCAUACACAUGGAUAACAUACCGAAAGGUAUGCUAAUACAAGAUGAUAUAAGAGAUUCGCAUGGAUUUCUUAUCAAAGCUCCGGCGGUAUGAGAUGGACCCGCGUCUGAUUAGCUAGUUGGUAAGGUAACGGCUUACCAAGGCGACGAUCAGUAGCCGACCUGAGAGGGUGAUCGGCCACAUUGGAACUGAGACACGGUCCAAACUCCUACGGGAGGCAGCAGUGGGGAAUAUUGCACAAUGGGCGAAAGCCUGAUGCAGCAACGCCGCGUGAGCGAUGAAGGCCUUCGGGUCGUAAAGCUCUGUCCUCAAGGAAGAUAAUGACGGUACUUGAGGAGGAAGCCCCGGCUAACUACGUGCCAGCAGCCGCGGUAAUACGUAGGGGGCUAGCGUUAUCCGGAUUUACUGGGCGUAAAGGGUGCGUAGGUGGUUUCUUAAGUCAGGAGUGAAAGGCUACGGCUCAACCGUAGUAAGCUCUUGAAACUGGGAAACUUGAGUGCAGGAGAGGAAAGUGGAAUUCCUAGUGUAGCGGUGAAAUGCGUAGAUAUUAGGAGGAACACCAGUAGCGAAGGCGGCUUUCUGGACUGUAGCUGACACUGAGGCACGAAAGCGUGGGGAGCAAACAGGAUUAGAUACCCUGGUAGUCCACGCCGUAAACGAUGAGUACUAGGUGUCGGGGGUUACCCCCCUCGGUGCCGCAGCUAACGCAUUAAGUACUCCGCCUGGGGAGUACGCUCGCAAGAGUGAAACUCAAAUGAAUUGACGG